ACGGGUAACGGGGAAUUAGGGUUCGAUUCCGGAGAGGGAGCCUGAGAAACGGCUACCACAUCUAAGGAAGGCAGCAGGCGCGCAAAUUACCCAAUCCUAAUACAGGGAGGUAGUGACAAGAAAUAACAAUACAGAGCCUUACGGUUUUGUAAUUGGAAUGAGUUAAGUAUAAACCCCUUAACAAGUAUCAAUUGGAGGGCAAGUCUGGUGCCAGCAGCCGCGGUAAUUCCAGCUCCAAUAGCGUAUAUUAAAGUUGUUGCAGUUAAAAAGCUCGUAGUUAAUUUUCUGUUAAUUUUUAUAUACAAUGCUACGGUAUUUAUAUAAUAUUAACAUAAUUCAUAUUACUUUUUAGUAUAUGAAACUUUACUUUGAGAAAAUUAGAGUGCUUAAAGCAGGCUAUUGCCUUGAAUACUCCAGCAUGGAAUAAUAUUAAGGAUUUUUAUUCUUCUUAUUGGUUCUAGAAUAAAAAUAAUGAUUAAUAGGGACAGUUGGGGGCAUUUGUAUUUAACAGUCAGAGGUGAAAUUCUUAGAUUUGUUAAA
rnacentral:rRNA from 1 species